ACAGGUGUAUGUAGCACGGUGGAACCACUACGACCCCAUCCCGAACUCGUGGGUGAAACAUUGUAGCGGCGACGAUACUUAGGGGGUAGCCCCUCGGGACAAUAGUUCUAUGCCUGUC
rnacentral:rRNA from 1 species